rnacentral:lncRNA from 1 species
GUGCUGGGCUUCAUAAGGGAAGAAGAGAUUAUACACCAAAGGAGCUGCGAGAACUAGGUAGUACGUACAGGCACAAGCCAGGGGCCCAGAGAACACAUCAAGAGCAAGAGCAAUGCACAGCAAGACUGGAGGUGCAGCCAAGGGGACUUAACCAACAGGAGUCAUGGAGAUGGUUAAAAGAGCAUGGUGCCCCUGGAGGAAAAAUCGACAGACUGCCCACCUCAACUCAUGUGUGUCCCAGUGGGUUGCUCGUGCCUUCCUGGAGACUGAGGAGUGGCCCUGGCCCAGGUUCUGGUGUGCUGCUUUUUGCUGCUGCUUGUUCCUUCUGCACCAACACCCGAAGUGCUCUGCUCUAGCUGUGCUCUCCCAGAGCAUGCAGGCCAACCCCAGCCAGUGGCCCUCCUGACAUGGACACCAUGCCCCUGGGAGGCAGCUCCUGGCACCUCCUCCCUCUGUGCGCCCAGCCCUCAGCCUUGAUGCUGCUGUAUUCCGAAGGUGUCUGCUGCCUCCUUCUGGACAUGGAUACGCCAGCCCAGGCCUUGUGCUGCUCUGCUGCUAAGUGGGCUCCCUGCACUCCUGCAGGGCAUUUCCUGCUUGCUCCGUGACUGGGAACCAGCUCUGGCCUGUUGGAGGCAACUCAGUGAACUGCACCCACACCUUCUCCACUGAGCUCUAAUCCCAGCCUUGGGGGCCACCCAUUUAAGUUGCUCCUUCCUUGGCUAUUGUCCCACUGGAGGGUAUUCUCGAGAUUUCUCUUUUCACCUCUAUAGUUGAU